rnacentral:lncRNA from 11 species
AUGAUGAUGAUGUUUAUUUAUACACAAGGAGACUCAAUAUCAAAUGCCUACCAUCAUGAUGGCUCAGCGUCCAUGCGAAUGCCUUUCUUGCUUCUCGUUGACAGAUAUCUCUCCGGUGACCCGAUCCCCAUUCCGCUCGACGGUGGCGCAGAGCUCAGCUUCGUUUUCCCUCCGCCGUUGCCUUCUCCCACCGCCUUCUUCCCGGCCCGGCCCUGCGCUUUGCCCUUCGCCCCGCCGCUCUUCCGCUCCCCACGGCGGACCUCUUCCUCCUCUCUUCCGGGGCGCCUCAACCGGGCCCUGUCCUUGGGCACCACCCCGUCCCUGGCCAGGACCGAUUCGGGAUACUUGUUCAGCGGAAGCCGCCCCCCUUCGCAGAUGUCCUUCUCCAAGGAAUCACCUACAUCAGAAUACUUCUCGCUCCUCUCCGGGAGCUGCCUCCCUUCCCCGGUGCCGUCGCCCGCCCCAUCCGUGGCCGGUUCCGUGGCCUCGAGUUCGGGUUCCUUGCGCUACCGCCGACCGCUCAUCAGCCCGGCCCGGCUCAACUUGAAGGGCCAGCGGCUGAUGCUCUUCUCGGCCCAAAACGGGGUCCCCUCCGGCGAGGACUUCGCCCCCUCGGAAAGCCACGGCUUCGCCUCCGACGUGCCCGCUUUCCCCAAGAGGAACCAUAUUGAGAGAGAAAUGCAUGAUACCAGGGCGGUCCUCGAGGCGGGCAGCCUUUGCAGCGAGGGCUCCGCGAAGAAGACGGACAACUCCUCGCACGGUUCCAGCUGCGUGGUGGACACCACGACCAACGGGGAGGAGAGUCCCGGCUGGAAGGGUCGCGUCGGCUGCUGGUCUGUCCGGGGCCUCCUCGCCGUGAGCCUGACCCUCAACGCCGUCUUCACCUCGGCCUUCCUCUACCGAAGCCUGCGGUGAGAGACAAGAUCCGCGUCCUUCCUCUCUCUCCUCGCUUGCAGCCGGUGCCACGUUUCCUCCGAUGGGCAGGAAGGAGUCCGACGGCGGACGAAAAAUACAGACUCGGGGAGGAGAGCGGACAUCUGGCCGACGGCCACUACGACGCUUCACACCUUUCCUUCUUUUGUAGGCAUUUAAUGGACCUCAAAAACGUGGGAGUCCGCCCCCAUUGGGUUCCCUCUCUCGAGGACGACAAACAAUCCAUUUUGGGAUUCUCGCUUGAACCUGGCUGGUAGCUCAUUCCUCCCCAUCUGGCUGGAGCCACUUUUCCGGUGCUGAAGUUUGUCAGAACUUGUUUUUUUUUCCCUUAGUCAAUUGUUUUUAAUUUUAAUUAUCCAAUCCCGCAGCCGUGUUCUGCCUUAGAAAGGGGCACCGCUUCUACUGUAACGAUACAAGCCCCGACAACUGGCGCUGGGCUGCGUCGGCGUGGCUUUCGGAGACAUUACCUGUCGAUACAUACGUGCUGCUGUACUGCAAAUGCUGCAAUUGAUUGCGGGGAAGCGGCUCUUCGUAUGUUGUUUCGGUGGCGAUUGUACCACCCAAGAGACCUCGUCUCAUCCUUGCAAUGUCUCUAAACAAGGCAUGGACAAACUUUAUGAAUCCUGGGCCCAUAACCCAGGCGUGGGUCACCUCGUGCUCUUCCUCCAAGUGUUUUGGGCUUCGACUCCCACCAUUCCCAACAGCCUCAGUCCCCUUUCCUUUCCCUCUCAGCCACUUAAACGAACUUUAUGAAUCCUGGGCCCAUAACCCAGUUGUGGGUCAACUUCGGCCCUCUCUCCAGGUAUUUUGGACUUCAACUCCCACACUUCCCAACACCUUCGGUCCCCUUUCUUUUCCCUCUUAGCCACUUAAACAAACUUUACGGAACCUGGGCCCAUAACCUAGUGUCGGCUCAACUUCUGCGCUUCCUCCAGGUGUUUUGGACUUCAACUCCCAUCAUUCCUAACAGCCUCAGGCCCCUUCCUUUUUCCCCUCAGGAAAGGGCCUGAGGCUGUUUGGAACAUGGGAGUUCGAUUCCCAUAACCAAUACGUAGACGAUGCUAAGACUUCGCCUGGUGUAUUGUUUCCCUGAUUUUCCCCGCUUCGGAACCUAAGCACUAUCCUGUACUCCCCACUAGACUUCUGCUUACUCCGUCUGUCUGUCUACACCAGUGGUUCUCAACCUGUGGGUCCCCAGAUGUUUUAACCUCCAACUCCCAGAAAUCCUAACAGCUGGUAAACUGGCUGAGAUUUCUGGGAGUUGUAGGCCAAAAACAUCUGGGGACCCCAGGCUGAGAACCACUGAUCUAUCUGAACUUAUCCAUCUGAACUAUCUACUCCUAUCUAUCAGAUAGAUCAGAUGAUGUAUCUAUUUGAUCUAUCUAAACACUUCUCUAGCCAUCUAUUAGAACUGUCUAUCUGAAUUAUCUGAUCUGUCUAUCUAAACUGUGUAUCUAUCUGAUCUAUCUAUCUGAACUAUCUACUCUGAUCUAUCUAUCUGAUUUAACUAGUUAUCUGAACUCUCUAUCAGAGCUAUCUAUCUAUCUGAACUAUCUGAACUUAUUUAUCUAUCUGAACUAUCUACUCUGAUCUAUCUUAUCUAUCUAUCUAUUUGAUCUCCAUCUAUCCAUCUGAACUAUCUGUCUAUCUGAUCUAUUUACCUAUCUGAACUAUCUAUCUGAACUUAUUUAUCUAUCUGAACUAUCUACUCUGAUCUAUCUUAUCUAUCUAUCUAUCUAUCUAUCUAUCUAUCUAUCUAUCUAUCUAUCUAAACUAUGUGUUUGAUCUCCAUCCAUCCAUCUGAACUAUCUUGUCUAUCUGAUCUAUCUAUCUGAACUAUGAUCUAUCUUAUCUAUCUAUCUAUCUGAACUAUCUAUCUGAACUUAUUUAUCUAUCUGAACUAUCUACUCUGAUCUAUCUAUCUAUUUUAACUAUCUAUUUGAUCUCCAUCCAUCCAUCUGAACUAUCUUGUCUGCCUAUCUGAACUAUCUAUCUGAACUAUCUGAUCUAUCUAUCUAUCUAUCUUAACUAUCUGUUUGAUCUCCAUCCAUCUAUCUGAACUAUCUGUCUAACUGAUCUAUCUAUCUAUCUGAACUAUCUACUCU